CAUAUCCAAAAAUUACUAAUGGAUUUAACGUCGGGUUUUUGAUUAAACGAACAUCUCCUCCACCUGGAGCCCAUGUGUCAUAAACUCCACCUAUGUACAUUGCUUUUGCAACUAAUAAGAAUGAUCCAAUUCCUAGUAAACAUAAGUGAAUACCUAAAAUUGUUGUCAUUUUAUUUUUAUCACGCCA
rnacentral:antisense_RNA from 1 species